UACCGUCCGCAUACUGGCAUUGGGGGUUGUUGUAGAACUGGACCCAAACGUAGUCAAAUAAACCGGUUUGGAUAGCGCCGUCUAGGUGAGCAUCCGGGAUCGGACAUUGUGGAGCUGCGGCUAAAUAGACCGUUUUUGCCUGUCCGUUGUGUCCGUUGAGUGACUUGGCGAGCUCAUCAUAGAACUGCGCACCACCCGCCUCAAUGUCGAAAUCAACGCCGUCCAAAACCGCGUCCCCAAGCGGGCGCGAAGCUGACUGACCACCUAAGAAGUUGUUCCAGAUGUAAUCAGCAACUUGCCUUGCAUCAUCAGCUGAAGUGAGAGAGUAACUUCCGGCGGCCCCUCCAAUCGAGAGGAGGACUUUUAUGUUUUUUGAUUGGCAGGUUCUGAUGUCGGCACUCAGCCCGGUGCAAGUACCACUAGCGGGGUCGCAGUGGCCGGCGAGGUUUAGGACAGGGGUUUGGUUGUUUCCGAAAGUAGUGAGGAAAGCUAUGUUAACAAACUGGUAGUUGCCUGAGUUGCAAGCAUCUGCUAGGGUUCCUUCGUUUCCGUUUUGGCCCCAAUAGACCGCAAUUCCGGCGGCUUGGGAGGACUUGCAUGAAGAAAUGAGGAUCAAGAGGGACAGCGUUAGGGCUAGGGUUUGUGUUUUGGAUGCCAUUUUUAUAUGUUUUUUUGGGUUGUUGUUCAAAGUGCUUGGGAGUGGACAUGUACUUAUAGGUGCAGGGGACUUAUCGGUUAAGGUUUAGGGGAAGAAAAGUAUGACAGACGUGUUCUGCAGGUAAGAGUCUUCUGCUUGCAACCGCGUCAAUCACGUUAGGGCCUGUUUAUUUAGUCCAAGUUUCACUUUACAACUUAGAACACGUCAAUUAAAUUAGGUCGGGUUGAAAAUGCAUUUUCCAAAACCACUUUCACACAUAAGCGCUUCUUAUAUUUUCAUAAAAAUGCAAGUGGUUUUAUAAAAAAAAAAACUUGAGGUGUUUGGCGUGUGUUUUUUCAGAAAGCACUUAAAAUAUUUUUUCAACCUAAAAUCACUGAAUUUUUUAUGAUUUCAAAGUUCUUUUAAUUGUUUUGAAGGCACUUCCAACUGAUAUUUUAUAAAAAAUUACUUCUAGAGAGAAUUAUAGCAUGCUAAUUGAGAGAUUCCGAAACUAAAAAGCCAUCAAAUUUGCCAAAAAAAAAAUCUGAUGAGACAAUACGUGGAGAAUCAACACAGCUGUAUCAUCACCAAAAAUUUUCAGUGUGCAGAAAUACAGUCCGGUACAAAGUGUUAUAAUAAAAUUGGUUGAUUUUUUUUUUUAAGUUUCCAACUAAUUAUAUUAUUACACUUGAUGUACCGAUCCGUAUUUCUGAAAAAUCUCUCCUUACCAUCACAUCACAUGAAUGUUUUGGAAAGUUCGUAGAUAGAAACCAAAAUCUCUCCUUAUCAUCACAUCACAUCACAUGAACGUUUGGGAAGCUCGUCGAUAGAAACCAAAUGGAAUAUGCUUUUAGCUGAGGAUGGCCAUUGGCCAGGGACUUCGGUCUAAUCACGAUGCUUUAAUUUCGCAGUCGGAAAAAAACUUUCGAAUAAAAUUUAGGGUAUAUUUAGGAAGUGUUUUUAAAUGAUUGAAAACAUUUUUAGAAAUAUUUUUUUUUAAAAACGUUUCCAGUCAUUUAAAAAAACUUCUUAAACGAGUUUAAUUACUUGUGUAUGGGGCAACAUUUAGCUAGUAAUGGUUCUCAUGAAUUGGAUUGUGGUGAUGUGAAAAUGGGUUUGGGUUAGUUUAGUUUAGAGUUUAUAUUUACUAUCCGGUGCAUGCAAAUGGAAUGUCAAAUCUUUCAGAGAAAUUUUGAUAGAACUGCCACUUAGGGCAACACAUAUUAAACAAACAAAUGUAGGGUUGGAGAAGACUAAAAUACAUGAAUUCUCGUGUUUUCAUAAAUGUGAUCUAAAAAUAAUAUAGCAUGUGCCCUGAGAACAACGUGAUCAGUACCUAAUCGAAGUUCUCUAGUGUGGAAAGAUUCAAGAGGGGUGUGACGCUUCCGACAAAUAAAAAAUCACACAUUUUCGAAUUCGGAAAUGUAUAGAACAGAGCAGAUAUCACUAGAUGAAUGUUAACUGUUUUACAGAAAAUUUAUAAGACAAUUAGAGUUAAACAACAGAAGCUUGCACUUUAAAUGGUUAUGUCCAGCUGCUUUUGGUAUGUAUAUGCUUUUUCCAUGUCUCGAUGUAGUUCCAGUUCACUGCUCAUCAUCCUGGAACAAUGCUUUCGAAACAGAGCCGCACGGCUGGCUACUGUAUUCUCGGUAAUCUUCAUCGUCAUCACAGCUGCGUUGCGAGCAUGAACGUUUGAUUCCUGUCAUUGGGGUUUCACAGACUCUGUCAUCGCAUGAACCUCUAUGAUCCUUCCUUUUAAACAGCUUUCGAAGCGGAUUUGACUUUGGUUUCAAUGGUUUCAGCCGUUUGGGGGCCCAAACUCUCUGCAGAUCGGGCAUCCAUCUUGUGGAUGAAGCGAAUCUCCAAGCCCUCUCUCUCCUCUCUUGAGCUUCAAGUAACUUGCGAGCAUGGUCGUCCUAUUGUUUGAUCUCUUCGACGCUUGGUCUUCCAAUAUCAGUUUUCAGCGGACGAAGAGACUCACCUUCUGCUUGUAAUGAGUCCCAGAUUCUAUAACUUCCAUCCACUUCGACACUCUUCGGUUUUUCUUUACAGGAUCGAUUGCUAUCCUCACUGUUGAGUAAACUAUUAGGGAGUUCUUCCUCAUCAGCAAACAGUAACAAAUCCAUUUUCGUAUAGAUUUUGUGAACCACAUCUUCAAGUGUCUCACAGUACCUGAAAAAUGUCCAAAUUCAGGCUCUUGACAAUUUGACAAAGCAUUUCAUUGAAAAGGUUCAAUCCUUACUACCAUUAUAAUUUAUAAUGUGUUGUAUGGUUUACCUCGUAAUGGUGCUAAGUUAUUUCUACAGUUUUGGGGCAUUUUUUUUGCAGUUUCGGUGCAAUUUUGAUGCAGUUCUUUUUUUUUGCAAUUUUGCUGCAUUGUUGUUGCUGUUUUUGCUGCAUGUUCAUUGAUUAAUAAAAAGGUCGUACCCAGUGCACAAGGCUCCCUUGAUUAAUAUAUGAGAAAAAUAAGACUGUCAUAUGCUUAAAUAGGUGUAUAUUUUAAAUUAUACAUUUUUUUUUCAAAAAUCGAACCGAAACUGUUUGAAACCGUACCGCACCAAACCAAACGGUUUGGUUUCAUUUCAGUUUUGGCUUCAAAACUGCACCGAACCGCACCGCAAAAAAAUUUGGUUUCGGUUGCGGUUUCACUCGAAACCGCACCGAAGCGCACCGCGCCCACCCCUACAGGGGACUUGUCGAUGAAGGUUUAGGGGAAGAGAAGUAUGACAGACGUGUCUUGCGGGUACAAAAUGGGUGCCAGUCUUCUGCAUGCAUGGAACCGCGUGAACCAAGUUAGGGCCUGUUUAGUCCAAGUUUCACUUGACAACUUAGAAAUUUGUCAAUUAAGUUAGGUCGUGUUGGAAAUUCUUUUUUCAAAAACCACUCAUAAGUGCUUUUAAUAUUUUUCGUAAGAAUGCAAGCGUUUUUAGAAAACACACUCAAGGUGCUUAGCGUGUGCUUUUUUUUAGAAAGCACUUUUAAGUGUUUUUUCAACCUAAAAACACUUGUUUUAAAGACACUUCCAACAAACACAUAAUUAAUGGAAAAUUACUUCCAGAGAGAAAUAUAGCAUGCUAUUUGAGAGAUUCCAAAACUAAAAGCUAAAUAGUUAUUAAGCGUGACCUUAACCAAGGUGAAAUAAAAUAUCAAAUUUGACAAACAAUCUGAUGAACGUCAUAGCUAUAUGUAUAGUCAGUAGAUGAGAUAAUCAUGAAACAAAACGUGGAGAAUCAACACAGCCUUAUCAUGGCCAAAAUUUGUCUGUGUGCCAGAACCACGGCCUAGUACACUAAAAGUGUCAUAAUAGAAUUGGUUGGAAAUUCAUUCGGUUACAACUGACUCUGAAGUCUUUAUUUCUGCACAACCACAUAGUGAGAUGUUUGCUUACCAUGCAACCAUGAUGUCCAAUACUCUUGGUACCUCAAUCGUUGUCUUUACCAAAACUGGUUUUAUGGCUAUUCUAUUGAGCCAUUACCGACCUACCGGGAUCAUAUUUGCCUUCACGAAUGAGUGAGUUUUCAAUUUACCUGUCACAAAGGCAUUUAGUUAAAAUUUGUAACUGUAUCAGUCAAAAUAUGCUGUGAAAGUUCUAUUCAUUAGCAAGUACUUUGAUUGCCAUGCAGUAAGAGCAUACAACGGAGAUUGGCUUUGUAUCAAGGCGUAUGUCCAAUAUAUACAUGGAGUUCACAGAAGAUUCUGAAACAAGCUUUAGCAAUGCCUUGACUGUGCUGAAGGUGAUGUUUUGCUGCAGAUUUCCUAAAUUUAUGGCGACGUAUGCUAUUCAACCAUGCCAGCACUGAUGGUUCAUUUUCUGUUGUUCUGUUUGCAGGAGCAAGGAUUGGUAAAGGCAGGAGAAGAGGUCGCACUCGUUCAAAGUGGCAGGCAACCCAUUUGGCGGCUCCAAUCCACUCACAAAAUUCAAGUGCGCAAAAUUUAGGUGCAACGGAGAUGGAAUAAUCGCCCUCGUAACAUAGAUUUCUUCGUCUACACUACAAAAGUUUCAAAUGAUAGCUUUUGUGUUGUACUUCCAGCGGAAUUGUCGUGAUACUUUCUUCCUUUGGUUGUUUUUUUUCUUCUGUUGCACACUUUUGUGAUCCUAUCAAUGUGCUUCUUUUUGUUUCCGAUUUCCCCCUAGUUAAUUUUGGCGUAUGUUUUAGAACUGUAAGUUGUUAAAGUAUAAAUUUGGCAGUUUGAAUGCAAACUGUCUAAAUUUUUUUAAUAGUUCGAUUGAGGAAACAGAUCGUCACACUCACAUUCUAAUAUCCGCCGCUUACCGUUUGUCGUGUGGCCGUUUAACACUGACUAAGGUAGAUCUCACAUCAGAUCAGCACGGGACUAGGUUCCGUGCUCUUGUGAAAGUUAUUCUACGUACGACGUGAUUCUACACAUGGUUUGUGGUUUGGGCUUGAACCGGUCUCUACGAAAUGAGGCAGAUUUUUUGUUUAUUAACAAAGGUCAAAAGUCAAACAAAAAUUGUUGAUACAGACUAUCUUAAACAAAAUUAAACAACAUUCGCUUGAAUAAUUAUCAAAUUGACAAUGUCUCAUAGGUGAUGCUGUCCAUACACUCUUUUUAUUUUUCACUCACUCCUCCCAAUUUUUAACCGUCAGAUCGAAUAAAUUAAAGAUGAUCAAAAGACAAAAAUUAACUGAAGAUAUGUGAAAGAAAAAACAAAAUGUAUAUAUAGCAUCACCUAUCUUAUUAGGAUAAUGACAUCCGAUUUAUUUGAUAUAAUCUUUUAGGGAAACCAAAACGUUGAGUUACAAAAGUCAAACUCUUCCGAUGAUGGAAUAACUAUAUCCAUUUUUAUCAUCACAAAACUCGGACCCUAACAUCACACCACCAUACUUCGACGACUUCUUUAUCACCAGUAGAAUUUCCGAAUUCAGCAAAGCAGCCACAAUAUACCCACUUCUGGCCACCUCAGGAGUGGCCGGCAACCCCAAAAACAUCUUCCCUUUCUAAUACAUUAAUGAUGUCAGUUGGCGUCUUAACAAGAUGGGAGACUUUGGAGUCGCUUUAUUGGGAUCUCCCGAGUACUCGGUACUCUAUGUAUUUUAACCGUUAAAUCUUUGUUUAAAAAUAUAAAAAUCAAAUUCUAACAGUUAAAAUAUUCAAAAUAUCCAUAGUACCGCUCGAAAUUUUUUGAGACAUUAAAUGCAAUCCCUCCAAGAAAUCAUCUCAAAUUUUUUUGAGACAUUAAAUGCGAUCUCUCCAAGAAAUUAUUAGAUUAUACCGUAGUACCAUCUCAGCCGUGGUAGUUUCAUCCAAAGGCUAGCCUUUACAAUAUGAGCUAGCCAGCCUUCAUGCACACAGUGCCUGCCAAUCAUGUAAAACCAUUGACAAUGAUACAUGACAAUUUAUUUGGACCUAUAACUUCAUUUCAUAACUACAUCAGAUAACCGUUUAUGUGCAACUAUAUUUUAUUCAAUUUCAAAAAUUAGCAUAUGCAAUGACAUGUUUUAUCGUAAAAAGUACAAGAAAUUUUCAACGUAUCACAAAUACAAAGUGUUAUACCACAUGUCAUUAUAUAAAGAGAAAUUUUUUAUAUUUUAAGUCUGUCUCCACUUAUAUAAUAUGUGUUGUACCAUCCGAAUUCCGGAUCAGUAAAAGAUCUCUCCAAAAAUACAUAUGCAUGUUUUAUUCAAAAGGUUAGGAAUGAUGCGUCAUCAUCCCUAACGCACUUUAUUAUAAGUAGUAUCAUCCAUUGAGGCAGAGAAGUUAAUUAGAUGCUGUCCUUAAUGGAUGCACUAUAGCCGUUGACAAUGUCAUACUGCCUGCCCCAGAGCAUAAUUCCUCCGUACUUGGGCGAUUUCUUAAUCGUUGGAAGAACUUGUGACUUGAGAGCGUCAGCAGGAAUAAAUCCGCCGCCCGGAGCGGCCUCAGGAGCUGCCGGUAUACCCAAGAACACCUGGGUGGCCGGAACCGAGGCCCAUUGGUUCCAACUGCUCAAAAGAGCGUCGGCAUUACCGUCUGCAUACUGGCAUGGGGGGUUGUUGUAGAACUGAACCCAAACGUAGUCAAAUAAACCGGUUUGGAUAGCGCCGUCUAGGUGAGCAUCCGGGAUCGGACAUUGUGGAGCUGCGGCUAAAUAGACCGUUUUUGCCUGUCCGUUGUGUCCGUUGAGUGACCUGGCGAGCUCAUCAUAGAACUGCGCACCACCCGCCUCAAUGUCGAAAUCAACGCCGUCCAAAACCGCGUCCCCAAGCGGGCGCGAAGCGGACUGACCACCUAAGAAGUUGUUCCAGAUGUAAUCAGCAACUUGCCUUGCAUCAUCAGCUGAAGUGAGAGAGUAACUUCCGGCGGCCCCUCCAAUCGAGAGGAGGACUUUUAUGUUUUUUGAUUGGCAGGUUCUGAUGUCGGCACUCAGCCCCGUGCAAGUACCACUAGAGGGGUCGCAGUGGCCGGCGAGGUUUAGGACAGGGGUUUGGUUGUUUCCGAAAGUAGUGAGGAAAGCUAUGUUAACAAACUGGUAGUUGCCUGAGUUGCAAGCAUCUGCUAGGGUUCCUUCAUUGCCGUUUUGGCCCCAAUACGUCGCGAUUCCGGCGGCUUGGGAGGACUUGCAUGAAGAAAUGAGGAUCAAGAGGGACAGCGUUAGGGCUAGGGUUUGUGUUUUGGAUGCCAUUUUUGUAUGUUUUUUUGGGUUGUUGUUCAAAGUGCUUGGGAGUGGACUUGUACUUAUAGGUGCAGGGGACUUAUCCGUUAAGGUUUAGGGGAAGAAAAGUAUGACAGACGUGUUCUGCGGGUUAGAAAUGGGUGCCAGUCUUCAGCUUGGAACCUCGUCAAUCAAGUUAGCUAGGGCCUGUUUAGUCCAAGAAGUUUCACAUAAAACGCCGAUUAAGUUAGGUCGGGUUGGAAAUGCUUUCUUCAAAAACUACUUACACACGUAAGCGCUUCUUAUAUUUUUCAUAAGAAUGCAAGUGCUUUUGAAAAAAAACACUUGAGCUGUUUCGUGUGUUUUUUUCAGAAAAUACUUUAAAUGUUUUUUCAAACUAAAAAUCCAUUAAAGCUCCUUUACUUGUUUAAGGGCACUUCCAAAAUCAUAUUUAAAGAAAAAUUACUUCUAGAGAGAAUUAUAACAUGCUAAUUGAGAGAUCCCGAAACUAGAAACUAGAUAGUUAUAAUGAAGCGUGACCUUAACUGCUUAAUUAAGUGAAAAAAGCCAUCAAAUUUGACAAAAAGUCUGAUGAAAGGUCAUAGCUGUAUCAUCUGUAGAUGAGAUAAUCAUGAAACAAUGUGGGGAAUCAACACAUCCUUAUCAUCGUCAAAAAAAAAAAUUCACUGUGCUGGAAGCACGUUCAAUUGAACGUUUUGGAAGUUUGUGGAUAGAAACCAAAUGGAAUAUGCUUGUAACCAAAAUUGCUGGCUGCUAUAUACAUCUUGGAUUUUAGCUGAGGUGGCCAUUGGCCAAGGACUUUGGUCUAAUCACGAUGCUUUAAUUUCGCAAUCCAAAAAAAAAAUUCAGAUAAAAUUUAGAACACGUUUUGGGAGUGCUUUCAAAUUACUGAAAGCGAUUUUAGAAAGAAAAAAAAUGUUUAUAUAACUAAUCUUUAAUAAAAAUGCAAGUUAAUCCUCCAAAAGUACUGAAACUAGUGCUUCUUUGAUAAAACACUUCAAGUGCUUUUGGAGCUCAAAAAUAUUAUCUCAAGUGGUUUCAGUCAUUUAAAAACACUUUCUAAACGAGUUAAUGACUCGUGUAUGGGGCAACAUUUAGCAAGUAACGGCUCUCAUGAAUUGGAUUGUGGUGAUGUGAAAAUGGGUUUGGGUAAGUUUAGUUUAGACCAGUCAGCAGUGUUUAAAAUAUCCACGACAUUAUCGAUAUUUUCGUUGAAAUAUCCUUAAAAUUAAGGGUCCAUAAGCAAAAGAAGGAUGAAAUGCAAACUUCACCCUAUAUCGGCAAGAUACAAGAAAACAAUGAAUAUAGACAAUAUGUAACAACUCGUCCCAAGAUUUACUGUAUAUAAAUGGUAUUUUUGUAUUUUCAUCAAGUUUGGGAAUUUAUCUUCCUUUUAAAAUUUGUUUUUGGUCUUAAAUGGUGAUCCAAGGGGACCCACUCCCCUGAUUUUGUCCCCGAGCCCUCUUCUCUCUUUCUUCCUCUCCUCUUCCCUUUCCCCUUUCCCGUAUACUUCUAUUCCUCUCUUCUCUAUGAUCACACUCACACCCAGCUGCACUCCCUGCUCGAGGAAGACGCAAUCACCAUCUAAACCACGUCCCUUUCCUCUUCCUCUUGCCUCUGUGCAACUCGGCGAAACCAAGAAAAUAACCUCCGGCAAGUCCGACGGCUUUCGAAGCCAUUUCCUGCCAAACCACGGCGCGUUGGCCGGCGUGCAAGGUAUCAAUCUCUUCGUCCCGUCAAGUACUAUAACUUUUCUUUUUGUUUCACUCAAUUUAAUUGAGUAUUGAAGAAGUUAUACUCAUUUGAAUCUUACCCAGUUUCCGGCGACCUCCGAGGCUUUCGAGGAAAUUUCAGGCCAAACCAUGGCGAGUCAGACGUGAGGUAUCAUUCUCUUCGUCUCUUCCAGGACUACAACUUUCGUUUUUGUCUCGCUUGAUUUCGUUGAGUAGUGACAAAGUUAUGGCUGUUUAAAGUGGGGUGGUUUUCCGGCCGAAUUUCCGGCCUUCUUCUUCCUUGGCAACAGGCCACCCGGCCUUUCCCUCUCCCUCGGACCUUAGGCCCGUGUUGUCUUAAGCCCAAAACCCUAGCCUUUAGUUUUAAGUUUUAUUAUUUGGUUUUAAAACCCUAAAAAGGGCCUUGGGCCGGUGGUUUUUAAAAAGGGCUUAAAGCCCUGUUUUUCUUUAUUUAUUUUUAUUAAGGCCUUAAGGCCUUGUGAUUUUGUGCCCGUGGGUGUGUGUGUUAGGUGUGUAUGUGUUUAUGCAUGCACAUGCAUGCCGUGUGUGUGUGUGUAUUUGUAGUAUGUGUGUGUUUGGGCUAAAGCCCAAACCCCAAUUCUCACCCUAAAACCAUUUUAACCCAAAAUCCUAGGUUCCUAAAAUCCUUUAAAACCCUAAACCCAUCCAAUCCCAAAUCCCCUAUUUUAUUUAAACCUAAACCCUAAUCCGGAUUUCAAGCCUAAAACCCAUUUGACCGUUGACCCCCGGUCAACGUUGAUUUUAGGGUUGACUUUUCGGGUUUUCGUCCGGGACCCUUCUUAGGGUAAUUCGACGUUCUAAAUCCGUUUCCAAUGUCCAUUUUCCCAAAUUCAAUUGUUAUUAUAUAGUUUUAUUUAUUGGACUCUUUAUGUGCUUAGGGGCAAUUAUUGUGACGUUUCCAUCUUCGCUAGUGGCACAGCUUUUGGCAACUAAGUAUUGUGAGUGGACCCCUUCUAGAAUUACAUGAUUUGAUAAUUUAAUUGCAUAAAUGAUUAGCAUGCCUACGAAUUUAUGAUUUGAUUUAUGUGAAGCCUGAUGAUUUAAUAUAUUGAUUAUCGUCUCGGGUUUUGGUGAGGAAUUAUUUGUUAGCCUAUAUUGAGCUAUAUUUUAAUAUAUCGUAUUUUCUAUUAAAACCAUGAACUGGUAGACUAUCUGAUAGAUGACGAUAGGAUGCUAGAACAUGUUUUUGAACCCCUCUUUAUAGUGUAGACGAUGAUCGGUAACCUAUGCUAUGAAGUGGUUUUUUUUAGAGAGACGUAACUAUUUGUGCGUACCUAGUAGACACUAUGCCGCCUGGGGCAAGGAACUGGUGUUGGCAUUUAGGCCGGGAGAAAUAAUCCCUAGCGAAAGGCUGAGGGACACGGAGACAGGCAGUGGGCCAAGAGGGAGUUAUCUCUGGCUACGGGCACAGAGACUGAGGUGCAAGCAUUGGGCCGGGAGUUAUAUUUAUUCAGUGAUCUUUCUAGCAGCACACUGCGUUUACGAGACGAUUUAUGAUGCGUUUACUGUUUUGAUUUCCGCGAUGUUUUUCCGCGUUAUGGCGUUUGAGAUAUUUUUGGCAUACUAGGAUUUUUAUUAAAUCCAUCACUUAUUAUGCUAGUAGUUUUCAUUUAUAUAAACUUUGGGGGUUAGUAUGUUGAUAAUUGUUUUAUUAUUAUUGUAUAUAUAAACUUGGUCCACUCACCUUUGUUUUGCGCCCCCAUUCAGGACUUAGAAUCAAGGCACCUAAUCCCGGCGUGAAGACACUUUCGCAGCAGCAUCUUCGGAUCCUCUCGAUGUAGGACUCACUCCUUUACUCAUUAAAUUUUAUCUUAAUUCUUUUUAGUGAUUAGAUUUAGUUGUAUGCUCUGAGCACGUUCCUAAAACUUUUAACUCUUAGUUUUUAAAUUCAUAACACUUACUUAUUUCUUAUUCUUAGCUUUUGUAUCAAUUAAUGGCUUUCGUCACCCUCGGGUGUCGGCCAGCAUGUGUCUUCCUGGUAUUCGGGGAAUAUCAGGGUCGGGGCGUGUCACAAUAUUUACGGAUUAAUUACAAAAUUUUGCUAAUACCUAUUGCAGAUUUCGAACUGUAGAAUUUUUUUUAUAAAUUUUUUCUUUAAUUUCAACUAAAUCUGAAUGAGUACUUACCCCAUUGUAAAUUUCCAUCGAAGACUUUCCAACUAUAUCGAUAUUUUAAACACUGGUUUAGACCAACAUGUUUAAUAUCCAGUGCAUGCAAAUAGAAUGUCAAAUCUUUUUGAAAAACUUCAGUAUGACUGCCACUUAAGGGCAACUAGCAUAUUAAAGAGACCAAUGCAAAGUUGGAUGAGACUAAAAUACAUAAAGUCUCAUGUUUUGGUGAGAUGUGGUUUACAAAUGAUAUAGCAUGUGCCCUACGAAAAACGAGAUCGGAUUACCUAAUUGAAGUUUCUCUAGCAUGAAAAAUUCAAGAGGGAUGUGACGGUUCCGGAAAGUAAAAAAUCACACAUUUUUAUUAAUAAUUUUUUUGUUCGAAUUCGGAAAUGUAUAGAACUGAACAAAUGGAAUAGUGGCUCAGUGAUACCAACAAUUUCAUGUUGCAAAUUACAAAAAAAAAAAAAAAAAAAAAAAAAAAAGGAAAUGUUUUACACAAAAUUAAUGACAAUUAGAGUUAAACAACAGAAACUUGCACUUUAAAUGGUUUUUUUCUGCUGCUUUUGGUAUGUAUAUGCUUUUUCCGCACCGCUGGCUACUGUAUUCUCGGUAAUUUUCAUCGUCAUCCCAGCUGCGUUGCGAGCAUGAACGUUUGAUUCCUGUCAUUGGGGUUUCACAUACUCUGUCAUCACAUGAACCUCCAUGAUCCUUCCUUUUAAACAGCUUUCGAAGUGGAUUUGACUUUGGUUUCAAUGGUUUCAGCUGUUUUGGGGCCCAAAUUCUCUGCAGAUCGGGCAUCCAUCUUGUGGAGUAAGCGAACCUCCGAGCCCUCUCUCUCCUCUCUUGAACUUCAAGUAACUUGCGAGCAUGGUCGUCCUUUUGUUUGAUCUCUUCAGCGCUCGGUCUUCCAAUAUCAGUUUUCAGCGGACGAAGAGACUCACCUACUGCUGGUAAUGAAUCCCAGAUUCUAUAACUUCCAUCCACUUCGACACUCUUCGGUUUUUCUUUACAGGAUCGAUUGCUAUCCUAACUGUUGAGUAAACUAUUAGGGAGUUCUUCCUCAUCAGCAAACAGCAACAAAUCCAUUUUCUUAUAGAUUUUGCGAACCACAUCUUCAAGUGUCUCACAGUACCUGAAAAAUUCCAAAUUCAAAGAUUAAUCUAUCUGCUUAAGUUAAUUUUCCAUCUCAAACAAAAAUUGAUUGCCCGCACAUGUACUUCCGGAAAACUAAUUCCAGGAACGGAUUAUUUAAGCAACAUCGUUUCUUCAAGGAUCAUACUGUAGACAUACACUAUUGGCACAUUGCAAAAGUUGUAUAAACAUAUUCCACACUCGUUCAGAAAAACAUGGGUACGAUGUGCGCAUAACUGGCCUAUAUCCUGUCAAUCUACACUGAUAAGGAAAGACACUUUAACUCAUCUAAGAUUAUAAAGACAACCACUUUCCUUAUUUAGCAUUGUUGCAAAGGUAAGUAGGACAUGAUUUGUUAGAUAGGUAGUAAUAUCCCACAUGAAAGUGGAACACAGUGGCACCGGAAAUGUGUAUUUGUUGAGACAUGAACGAUAGACUGAAUGCAGCGUGUGCUAUAUAGCCUUUCAGCGAAAGCCAUAAUGCCUCAGUAAAACAUCCAUUAUAUAAAGUAAAGAAUAAUUUCAAGGGUAGGGGUUUUCAACUGUGGUACAGAUUUAUUACCUGCUUUUUAUGAUCUUUUCAACAUAAUCAUACACUCCAGUCACCAAAGAAGCCCUCCAGAUGACAUCGAAUUUUCUCCAAAAAGGAGCAAAUCUGUUUUACAGACUUCUGUUUUGUAGAUUCAGCAAUACGUGCACCAACCUCUGAUUGUAGUAUCUCCAUCCGGAAAAAUAUCUGCAAUUCAUAUCGUGCACGAGCUGGCGCAAGGAGGCGGCGAAGCACGAAGCCCGGGGCGGCGAUGCCGGGUCGAGGCGAAAUGCGGGGAGGGAAUUGAGGGUUUGGGAGAGGGAAUUGAAAGUGGGGCCGGGGAGGUGGAAAGAGAGGGAGAGAGAAGUGGGGAGCUUGGAGGAGGAGAGCAGCGGAGAGAGGGAGGAGAAGAAGGGUCUGAAGGCGAAGAGAGAGGCGGAGAGAGGAGGGAAAGAGAGGAUGGUUUUGACGGCGGCGAGGAAGGCUGUGAGAAAUGGAGCUGGGUUUUGGAGGUGGAGGAGUGGGUUGAGGCCUAGGAGGAGGACGAUGCGCUGCGUUUUGCCGUAGUCGGCGAUUGGGUCGCCGGAGCUCCGUUCAGAUGCCAUCGCAUUUGCAGGAGGAGAAAGAGACGGACUUGGGUUGCAGAGAAGGGAGAUGCAAAUGUGGAAUUAAGGAACAGUAAACCGAAUACGCAGUCGUUUUAGUAGAAAAACGACGAUACGGUAGAUGCUUGAGCGGGAAACCAAAUUUUGGCUGUAAAGGAAAUGUUUUAGGCCCCGUUUGGGAUUGAGGUGAUUUUAAAAAAAGCCACUGUGAAAAAAAGCUGAGGGUCAUUUUUGUGUUUGGUAAACUGAAAAAAGGGCUUAUUUUGGAAGCUGCUGUGAAAAUAAGCUGAAAAUCAAAGGAAAAGCUGAAGCUGCUAUUUGCUGCUUUGAAAAAAAGCCAGUUUUUUCAAAGCACACAGAGCUACAAUGCUCCUUUAAUGAAAAGACACACUAUCAUCCUGAUUUUUUUUCCAAAAGCACUUUCACAAAAAAGUUUACCAAACACUCUACUGCUUUAUUUCACAGCCGCUUAUUCUCACAGCACAGCCGCUUAUUCUCACAGCAGCUUUUUUUCAAAGCACAGCAAUACCAAACCAGCCCUUAAUCUCAUGAAGGACCUGUUUGGACUGCAUCUAAAUUUGUUAAAAGCGCUUUUAGAGAACAAAAGAGCUUUUGACAUCAGUUGAAAAAAAAAAAAUAUUUAAAGUACUUCUUCACGUGAAAAAAACACAUGGUUUUUAAUGAAAAUUCCAACAUGAUUUGAAUGAAAGUGCUUUCAAAAAGUAUUAUGAAUAGAUAUGCUUUUUUAUAUGCUUCUAUGAAAAGUGCUUUUUGCAAACAAUGUCGGGCUCGUUUGUAAUUACUUUUAAAAUGGUUGAAAGUGUAUUUCGUAAAAAUAUUUUUAGAAACAAUAUUUAGUAAAAUGCAAGUGAAUCCUAAAAAAAACACUUCAAGAAUAGAACAACCAAAGGGGCGAAAACUGUAAACCUCAUAGCAACCGAAUUACAAUUCGAGAACAUACCCGUUACUGAAUCCCAAAUCGCUGGUUCCCAAGUGUAGUCAUGCACAAGCUCGUUUAGAACCAAUAUUUUCUCUAAGAACGAUUUCAAUCAUUUGAAAAACAUUUUUAAACGAACUGAUGUUUUUAGGAGAAACACAAUGAGGAGCAAAUGAUUCCUAGGCGAGAAGAAAAACUAGACAGAAUGUUAAAUAGCACAUUAUGUACCAAUUUUUCUUCAACAAAUUGGAACUACUGAGAAGUUUGGAAACUAAAAAGUAAAGAUUGAUUCUAAGGAUUCUAACCCUGAUGAUUGCUUAUACAGUCGAACUACUUGAAUAGACUGGACUACCGAAGAUAAACUCAUACAUAUACGAAUUAUUAAAAAGUGAAAGAGGCUCAUCUCAGUUUUUUUUUUUUUUUUUAGUUGAAAGAAAAAAAAGGUAAAACAUGGAGAAGAUCAUGAACAGUAAUGGGUUUUAGUAUAUAUAAAUAUAAUUUGUAACUGUAUCUGUCCAAAUAUGCCGUGCAAGUUCUAUUCAUUAGCAGGUACUUUGAUUGCCAUGCAGUAAGAGCAUACAACGGAGAUUGGCUUUGUAUCAAGGCGUACGUCCCAUACACCUCUUUUAUGGGUGAUGCUGUCCACACACUUCUUUUAAUUACCAGUCGUCAUAUAGAAUGAAUUCAAGAGGAUCAAAUGACUAAAAUUAACAGAGAAUAUGUAAAAGAUAAACCAGAGUGUAUGGAUAACACCACCCUAUCUUAUUAGGAUAAUAACAUCCGAUGUGUUUGAUAUAAUCUUUUAGGGACUAACCAAAACAUUGAGUUACAAAAGUCAAACACUUCCGAUGAUGGAAGAACUAUAUCCACUUCUAUCGUCACAAAACUUGGACAAUAACAUCACACCACCAUACUUUGACGACUUCUUUAUCACCGGCAGAAUUUCCGAAUUCAACAAAGCAGCCGGAACAUACCCACUCUUGGCCGCCUUAGGAGCCGCCAGCAACCCCAAAAACAUCUUCCCUGUCUAAUACAAUGAUGUCACUUGGCGUCUUAACAAGAUGGGAGACUUUGGAGGGACUUUAUUGAGUACUCCAGAGUACUCAGUACUCUCAUUUGUUUAAAAAUAUAAAAAUCAAAAUCUAACGAUUAAAACAUCUAGAGUAUCCAUAUAUAGUACUGCUCAAAACUUUUUGAGACAUUGGACGUGAUCCCUCCUAGAAAUUAUUAAGUUAUACAGUAGUACACUUCAGCCGUGAUACUUUCAUUCAAAGGCUAGCUUUAUACUAAUAUGUGAUACUUUCAUUCCAUAUUUGAGAGCCAUUGGAUAAGUAUAAAGCUAACCUUUACAAUAUGAGCUAGUUAGUUAGCCUUCACACACACAGUGCCUGCCUAUCAUGUAACCAUUGACAAUGAUACCCGACAAUUUAUUUGGAGAGAGGGUCCUCACUCAUUUAUUUGGACCUAUAACUUCAUUUCAUAAUAACUCCAUCACAUCAUUUUAUGUACCAUAGUUUAUUCAAUUUCAAAAAUUAGUACACGCAAUAACAUGUUUUAUCGUAAAAUAUACGAGGUUUUUUAGUAUAUUAGAAAUACGAGAUGAUGCACCACAUGUCAUUAUAUAAAUGAAGAGAAAUUUUUUUUUUUUUUAAAUGUGCCUCCACUUAUAUAAUGUAUUGUACCACCCAAAUUCUGAAUAAGUGAAAGAUCUCUCCAAAAAAUACAUAUGCAUGUUUUAUUCAAAAGGUAAGGAAUGAUGCGUCAUCAUCCCUAACACACUUUAUUAUAGUAGUAGCAUCAAUUGAGGCAGAGAAGUUAAUUAGAUGCUGUCCUUAAUGGAUGCACUAUAACCGUUGUCAUAGAACCUGCUCCAAAGCAUAACUCCUCCGUACUUGGGCGAAUUCUUAAUCGUUGGAAGAACUUGUGACUUGAGAGCGUCAGCAGGAAUAAAUCCGCCGCUUGGAGCGGCCUCAGGAGCUGCCGGUAACCCCAUGAACACCUGGGUGGCCGGAACCGAGGCCCAUUGGUUCCAACUGCUUAAAAGAGCGUCGGCAUUACCGUCUGCAUACUGGCAUGGGGGGUUGUUGUAGAACUGAACCCAAACGUAGUCAAAUAAACCGGUUUGGAUAGCGGCGUCCAGGUGAGCAUCCGGGAUCGGACAUUGUGGAGCUGCGGCUAAAUAGACCGUUUUUGCCUGUGCGUUGUGUCCGUUGAGUGACCUGGCGAGCUCAUCAUAGAACUGCGCACCACCCGCCUCAAUGUCGAAAUCAACGCCGUCCAAAACCGCGUCCCCAAGCGGGCGCGAAGCGGACUGACCACCUAAGAAGUUGUUCCAGAUGUAAUCAGCAACUUGCCUUGCAUCAUCAGCUGAAGUGAGAGAGUAACUUCCGGCGCCCCCUCCAAUCGAGAGGAGGACUUUUAUGUUUUUUGAUUGGCAGGUUCUGAUGUCAGCACUCAGCCCCGUGCAAGUACCACUAGGGGGGUCGCAGUGGCCGGCGAGGUUUAGGACAGGGGUUUGGUUGUUUCCGAAAGUAGUGAGGAAAGCUAUGUUAACAAACUGGUAGUUGCCUGAGUUGCAAGCAUCUGCUAGGGUUCCUUCGUUGCCGUUUUGGCCCCAAUAGAUCGCAAUUCCGGCGGCUUGGGAGGACUUGCAUGAAGAAAUGAGGAUCAAGAGGGACAGAGUUAGGGUUAGGGUUUGUGUUUUGGAUGCCAUUUUUGUAUGUGUUUUUUUGGGUUGUUGCUCAAAGUGCUUGGGAGGGGACAUGUACUUAUAGGUGGAGACUUACUGGUUAAGGUUUAGGGGAAGAAAAAUAUGACACACGAGUUCUGCUUGUAAGAAAUGGAUGCCAGUCUUCUGCUUGUCAAUCAAGUUAGCUAGGGCCUGUUUGGUCGAAGUUUCACAUGAAACGUCGAUUAAGUUAGGUCGGGUUGGAAAUGCUUUCUUCAAAAACCACUUACACACGUAAGCUCUUCUUAUAUUUUUCAUAAUAAUGCAAGUGCUUUUGGAAAAAACACGAGAGGUGUUUCGCAUGUGUUUUUUUCAAAAAGCACUUCAAAUAUUUUUUCUACCUAAAAAUCCAUUAAAGCUCCUUUACUUGUUUUAAAGAAACUUCCAAAAUAAUAUUUAAAGAAAAAUUACUUCUAGAGAGAAUUAUAACAUGCUAAUUGAGAGAUCCCGAAACUAGAAACUAGAUGGUUAUAGUGAAGCGUGACCUUAACUGCUUAAUUAGGUGAAAAAAGCCAUCAAAUUUGACAAAAAGUCUGAUGAAAGGUCAUAGCUGUAUGCAUAAUCCGUAGAUGAGAUAAUCAUGAAACAAUACGUGGGGAAUCAACACAGCCUUAUCAUCGUCAAAAAAUUUUAGUGUUCUAGAAACACGAUCUGAUAUACAAAAUGUUUUAACAUCAAUUGAACGUUUUGGAAAUUUGUGGAUAGAAACCAAAUGGAAUAUGCUUGCUAGCUGCUAUAUACAUCUUGGAUUUUAGCUGAGGUGGCCAUUGGCCAAGGACUGCGAUCUAAUCACGAUGCUUUAAUUUCGCAGUACGAAAAAAAUUUCAGAUAAAAUUUAGAACAUGUUUAGGGAGUGCUUUCAAAUCACUGAAAGCGAUUUUAGAAAGAAAAAAAAUGUUUAUACAACUAAUUUUUAAUAAAAAUGCAAGUUAAUUCUCUAAAAGUAUUGAAAUUAGUGCUUCUUUGAUGAAUUACUUUAAGUGCUUUUGGAGCUCAAAAAUAUUUUCUCAAGUGGUUUCAGUUAUUUAAAAACACUUUCUAAACGAGUUAAUGACUCGUGUAUGGCAACAUUUAGCAAGUAAUAGCUCUCAUGAAUUGGAUUGUGGUGAUGUGAAAAUGGGUUUGGGUAAGUUUAGUUUAGAUCAGUCACCAGUGUAUAAAAUAUCCAUGAAAUUGUCGAUAUUUUCAUCAAAAUAUCCUUAAAAUUUAGGGUCCAUAAGGAAAAGAAGGGUAAAAUAUAAAUUUCAACCUAUAUUGGCGAGAUAUAAGAAAACAAUGAAUAUCGACAAUAUUUACCAAUUAACUACAAAAUGUUGCUAAAACCUAUUGCAGAUUUUGAACUUUAGAAUUUUUUUUUUAUAAAUUUUUUCUUUAAUUUCGACUAAAUCUGAAUGAGUUGAUACUUGAUAUGCUUAUCCCAUUGUAAAUUUCCAUCAAAGACUUUCCAACUAAAUCGAUAUUUUAAACAUUGGUUUAGACCCACAUGUUUAAUAUCCAGUGCAUGCAAAUAGAAUGUCAAAUCUUUCAGAAAAACUUCAGUAGGACUGCCACUUAAGGGCAACUAGCAUAUUAAAGAGACCAAUGCAAGGUUGGAUGAGACUAAAAUACAUAAGAGCAAUUCCACCGGGGACCAAAUGUCCCAGCCUCCAGUCCAAAAACCAAGCCAGGCCUCUGUCAAUCAAGUCCACCCCAACAAACUGACUGGUACCCAGCCCGAGUUGGGCAAGAGCCCAGCCCAAAAGAGACUGAGACAGAAGCCGGGGAAGAAGCCUGGCGCGUGCACUUCACGUAGCCGUUUGGCGAGUGCCCGACAAGCUUUCAGACGCCGGGGCCCGCGUGCAGGCGCUGUCAGUCCCCCCCCCGAGUUGCGACGUGGCUACCUCUCUGCCGUUGGAUUUCCAACGGCUAGUUUUCUAGACCGUUGGAUUUCCAACGGUAAAAAAAUUUUAAAUUUUACUUUUAAACUAGACCGUCGGAUCAAAGAUCAACGGUCCACGUUUUUUUCACAAAAAGUAAAUUAAAAAAAAAAAAAAAGGGCCCAACGGUCAGAAAUAUGACCGUUGGCCACGUGGCAACUCCCUAGCUCUUGGAUUUGAAUAUUUUUCAAAUCCAACGGUCCAGAUUAAUUAACUAUAUUAAAAUUCAUUAAAAAUUAUUAAAAAAUACAGAAAAAUUAUUAAAAAAUACAGAAAAUUUUAAAAAAAUUACAGAAAAUUUUGAAAAAUGUUAAUUUUUUUUCCUAUAAAUACCUAACCCUCAUCUUCUACCUUUACACCACAUUCCAAUAUUUUCUACACUUUCUAUACUAUCUACAUUUCAAAAUAUUUUCUACACUUUAAGAGAAAAAAAAUGUCUUCGUGGAAGCUCAUUGAAGAUGUUACGUUGUGUGAAUGUUGGGUUCACACUACUCAUGAUCCGAUUACGGGUAAUGAGAUGGAUAAGCGAGAGAUGUGGAGUAAAAUUACGAAAGCGUUUUGUGAUGUACAUGGAGAAAACGCCAGAACUAGUCAAGGUCUUCAAGGUCGUUGGAAAAAACUCAAUGCAUCAUUUACUUGUUGGAAAAACGCCAUCUCUCAUGCUUCCGGUAACCUCCGUAGUGGGACAAGUUUAGCGGAUCAGGUGACAAUAUUUUUUAUUUAUUUAUAUGCAUUCCACUCACAUUAAUAUUUUGAUUUAUUUAAUUUCGUAUGUAAUUUUUAUCUUAUUUCUUAUGUAAUUUUUAUUUAAUUUCUUAUGUAAUUUUUAUUUAAUUUCUUAUGUCAUUUUUAUGUAAUUUAUAUGCAUUCCACCCGUAUUAAUAUUUUGAAUUUAUUUAUUUGUGUUACACCCGCAUUUUUUAACACUAUGUUAUCCCACUUUUUUAUAGACACUACAAGCUCAAGCAUUCUACAAUUCAAAGAACGGGAACAAAUCAUUCAAUAGAUUGGAAUGUUGGCAAAUUGUCAAAGAUUGCCCUAAAUACAAAAUUGUGGCAACUGGUCCAGAAGUUGUCAUGCACGGUAUGGGUCUACAUAGUUCUCCAGAACCAGACAUGGCCGAACAAGAAGCCGACACAUUUCAAGACACGGAAGGGACGGCUGAACAAGUGCCCGAGACCCAACCGACUCGUCAGUCCCUAAGGCCUCUAGGUAAAAAGGCGUCAAAGAAAAAAGGUAGUUCUUCCAAAAAAUGACUACACUAAAUAUAUGGAGGAACUUGCUCGCCAAGGUGAACUAAACUUGGCACGAGAAAAGGCUAGAGAUGAGGAAAAAGUUGCUGCUAUGGCAGCAAUAUUAGCAGCUACUGAGGCCCGUGAUGCGGCGGCUGAAAGACAAAGAGAAGUAGUUAAUCGAGAGAACGAGCUGGUUAGAGAAGCACUUCAUCGAGAAAAUGAAUUGCUUCGAGAAGAAAGGAUGGCUCAAGCAUCGUGAUCGUGACACUAUGAGCAAGUCUCUAGUAGGACUGUCUCCGAAUUCUAAAUAUUUUUUAGACAUCGGAAAAAGAGAUGCCAUGCGUAGGAGGCGUGCAAGAGAUGCGGAAACAAGUCAAGGGGGUUCUAGCUACACAAAUCAUGGCAACCAAGAUCCUAGCACCACAUAUCCUAACUCGAGAGACUUUAUUUAAUUUCUUAUGUAUUUUUAUGUAUUUUCUUUCUUUUUUCUAGUAGAACUUUAUUUAAUUUCUUAUGUUUUUUCUUUUUUUUAGGUUUGAACUUUAUUUAUUUUCUUAUGCAAUUUUAAUGUAAUUAUUUAUUUAAUUUCUUUUGUACUUUAUUUAAAACACAUGAAAUAAGAUUACACAUAAACUCACCAAAUAAAUUUAAAAACAAAACACAUUACAUAGAAUUACAUAAACUCACCAAAUAAACUUAAAAACAAAACACACUACAUAGAAUUACAUAAACUCACCAAAUAAACUUAAAAACAAAACACACUACAUAGAAUUACUUAAACUUAAAAAAAAAUACAAUUUAUUCUUCAACCACAAGCCUCAUUCUAAUUAUCUUCGCCUCCAUGCAAUCCCCACUGGUGCUCAAUCAAGUCAUUCUGGCGGGUUACGUGCCAGUAUGGCUCUUGCACAUUAGUGUACCGCUGAACGAUCAAUUCAUUGUAACGUCCAUCACGUUCCAACGGCUCGUGUUGCACUGGAUCUUCGGUCCCAUCAUGAGCACAAUAAAUACGUGUUCUUGAGUUGUUCAUCGGAUCUGGCUCAUAUUCAUCGACGGCAUCAUAAUCAUACUCAUCUUCAACAAUCAUGUUAUGGAGAAUAAUACACGUCAUCAUGAUGGAUCGAAGAGCCUCGACAUCAAACAUUCUAGCUGCAGCCCUGACAAUCGCCCAACGAGCUUGCAGGAUACCAAAACAACGCUCGACAUCCUUCCUACACCCUUCUUGACAUUUUGCAAAGUGUUUUUCCUUUUCAGUCUGUGGAUGUGGCACUGUUUUGACAAAUGUUGACCACCUUGGGUAAAUGCCAUCUGCAAGGUAGUAUGAUCCCUCGUAUUGGGUACCAUUAACCCAAUAUGUGCAUCUCGGCGAGUUUCCUUGCAGCAGUUCGUCGAACACUGGGGAUUGGGCAAGGACAUUUAGGUCAUUUUGAGCUCCUGGAACACCAAAAAAAGCAUGCCAAAUCCAUGUAUCAAAUGAAGCCACCGCUUCCAAAAUGAUGCUUUUGGCUCCUUUUCUGUCGCCAUAUGCUCCUUGCCACGCACUUGGACAGUUUUUUCCAAGUCCAGUGCAUGCAGUCGAUGCUUCCAAUCAUGCCAGGGAAGCCUCGCAUCUCACCCUUCCUCAGAAGCCUUCGCAUGUCCCUUGACGUGGGUGUCCGGAGGUACUCUUUGGUGUAGAGGGCUUCAAUUGCAGAGCAAAACCGCAUCAGGGACUCCAGAACAGUUGUUUUUCCCAUCCUCGCGAUCUCAUCCACUUGAUCUGCAGAUGCUCCAUAUGCAAGCAUUCGCAAGGAUGCCGUAAUUUUUUGCUCGGGAAUAAGACCUAGAACAUGAAAAGCAUCCUCUUUUUGCACAAAGUAUGAAUCAUUGUUGCAAAUAUCACUCAUGAUUUUGUUGAACAAAUGUCGUUGCAUUCUAAAACGCCGUCUAAACAUGAUCAGGGAAUAUGCUAUUGGGAAUAAAAUAGUCUUCCAAUAGAUUUUUACCUCGUUUUUCCCUUUUUCUAUCGAGGUUUGCAACACGUCUUGGUUUGGCUAUCUGACCCACGGCUUCCAUGACACGGCGGGAAUGUGAGGCCUUCUGCCUUCUAUGGUGAUCAUCCUCAUCCUCCUCCAUGAAGAAAGCCUCAUCUCCACCUCCACCUUCCUCGAGAUUGGCCAAUUCUGCCUGUUGUGCCAACAACCUUUGUUGUUGCUCUUGCAACUGCUUAUACACCCUUCUUGAAGAAGACAUUGUAAUAAGAACUCAAGAUUUGAAAAUGAUGAACAAGGAUUCUGAGCUAAAAAGAAGGAUUGAGCUUGGUGUGAGGAUGGAUGUAGGGAUGUAGGGUUUAUAUGGACAAAAAAAGAAAGGAUGAGGUUCUGGACAAUGCCACGUGGCACUACGUGAUUGGUUGAAAAUCUUAUCGAAAUCUUGGCUAAAUUAUUGUAAACCGGAAGUGACACGUGGCGUGUCAGGAUUGGUCGAGAAUAUUAUCGAAAAUCUAUCCACAAAAUAGUACGUUCGGAUAAUGACACGUGGCAUGACGUGAUUGGUUGAAAAUCUUAUCGAAAUCUUGGCUAAAUUAUUGUACCAUGGAAGUGACACGUGGCGUGUCGGGAUUGGUUGAAAAUAAUAUCGGAAAUCUAUUCACAAAAUAGUACGUUCAGAUAAUGACACGUGGCGUGACGAGAUUGGUUAAAAAUCCUAUCCGAAAUUAAAACUAUUUUAUUUUUUUAUUCUUUAUUUUAAAUGGGUUAAAAAUCUUAUCCGAAAUAAACUUAAAAAAAAAACACACCAAAUAAAUGCGCUGGGUGCUAGCGCAUUUUUUUAGGGGUGGAGAUGCCUUGGCCUAUUACUGUUCACUCCAGUCUAUUACUGUUCAUUUGAGUGGAUAAAUGCGCUGGGUGCUGGCGCAAAGUCCACAGGGGUGGAAUUGCUCUAAAGUCUCGUGUUUUGAUGAGAUGUGGUCUACAAAUGAUAUAGCAUGUGCCCUACGAAAAAUGAGAUCGGAUUACCUAUUUGAAGCUUCUCUAGUAUGAAAAAUUCAAGAGGGAUGUGACGGGUCCGGAAAAUAAAAAAUCACACAUUUUUAUUAAUAAUUUUUUUGUUCGAAUUCGGAAAUGUAUAGAACUGAACAAAUGGAAUAGUAGCUCAGUGAUACCAACAAUUUCAUGUUGCAAAUCACAAAACAAAAAAAAAGGAACUGUUUUACACAAAAUUAAUGACAAUUAGAGUUGAACAACAGAAGCUUGCACUUUAAACGGUUUUUUUCUGCUGCUUUUGGUAUGUAUAUGCUUUUUCCAUGUCUCGAUGUAGUGCCAGUUCACAGGUCAUCAUCCUGGAACAAUGCUUUCGAAACAGAGCCGCACGGCUGGCUACUGUAUUCUCGGUAAUCUUCAUCGUCAUCCCAGCUGCGUUGCGAGCAUGAACGUUUGAUUCCUGUCAUUGGGGUUUCACAUACUCUGUCAUCACAUGAACCUCUAUGAUCCUUCCUUUUAAACAGCUUUCGAAGCGGAUUUAACUUUGGUUUCAAUGGUUUCAGCUGUUUUGGGGCCCAAACUCUCUGCAGAUCGGGCAUCCAUCUUGUGGAUGAAGCGAAUCUCCAAGCCCUCUCUCUCCUCUCUUGAGCUUCAAGUAACUUGCGAGCAUGGUCGUCGUUUUGUUUGAUCUCUUCAGCGCUCGGUCUUCCAAUAUCAGUUUUCAGCGGACGAAGAGACUCACCUUCUGCUGAUAAUGAGUCCCAGAUUCUAUAACUUUCAUCCACUUCGACACUCUUUGGUUUUUCUUUACAGGAUUGAUUGCUAUCCUCACUGUUGAGUAAACUAAUAGGGAGUUCUUCCUCAUCGGCAAACAGUAGCAAAUCCAUUUUUGUAUAGAUUUUGUGAACCACAUCUUCAAGUGUCUCACAGUACCUGAAAAUGUCCAAAUUCAAAGAUUAAUCUACCUGCUUAAUUCUCCAUCUCAAACAAAAAUUGAUCACCUGCAUUUGUACAUCAGGAAACUAAAUGCAGGAAUGAAUUAUUUAAGCUCCAUCAUUUCAAGGAUCAUACCGUAGGCUAAUAUGCUAUUGCAGAAGUUGUAUAAACAUAUUCCUCACUCGUUCAGAAAAACAUGCCUACGAUGUGCGGAUAACUGGCUUAUACCCUGUAAAUCUACACUAAUAAGGAAACACACUUAACUCAUCUAAGAUUAUAAAGAUAAUCACUUUCCUUUUUUAGCAUUAUUGCAAAGGUAAGUAGGAGAGCAUUGGAUGGGCAGUAAUAUCCCACAGGAAAGUGGAAACAGUGGCACCGGAAAUGUGUAUUUGAUGAGACAUGAACGGUAGACUGAAUGAGUGUCGAGAAAGCCAUAACGACUCGGUAAAACAUCCAUUAUAUAAAGUAAAGAAUAAUGCGAAAGGCAGGGGUUUUCAACUCUGGUACAGAUUUAUUACCUGCUUUUUAUGAUCCUUUCAACAUAAUCAUCUACACUCCAGUCACCAAAGAAGCCCUCCAGAUGACAUCGAAUUUUCUCCAAAAACGAGCAAAUCUGUUUUACAAACUUCUGUUUCAUAGAUUCUGCAAUACUUGCACCAACCUCUGAUUGUAGUAUCUCCAUACGGAAAAAUAUCUGCAAUUCAUAUCUAGUACUAGGUGAAGGAAAAGUGUAAAUGUAAUUGGAGACAAAUUUUCAUAUUGGUAGAGUUAUAACUGGAUUAAUGCAUAAUACAGAAGACAGUUCAGUUAUAAAUGAGAAAGGAUACUCUCGAACUAUUUUUCCAGAAGUCAGUCCUUCAGAUUCUGAAUCGGAUGCUUUAACAAACGGGCCGGAGCUUUUCUGCCUUGCAGUGAUAUCCUUGGGAUCUCUCAGUAGAAGUUUUAACACCUCAGCAGAAACCAAAUCAUCAGUAGCACCAGAUUUUACAAGGGAAGUUUGACUCUCUGAAAGGGCUUCUGUUUCCUGCUUUUUAUUUAACCAAUAUAUGGAUGAAUUCACAAGCCGAUAUGCCAAUGCCCCCAAGUCUACUGCUUCAUAUUCAAGCCCCUGUUGUAUCUUGUUGGAUAGACUACUGAAAAAAUCUUCCGACGUUUCUGAUCUAAAUUCCAAAGCAGCUUCAUCUUGUAUGCCAGAAGCCACAGUCAAAGAAUUUUCUCCAAUGGAAGGAGAUGAAGAAAUUGGCUGUUCACUUUCAUGGUGCAAGUUAUCCAACCUAUUGUCCAUCCCUUUUCUAUUGAGCUGGUCUGCCUGGGAUUCUUUCUCCACUAUUAGACCACGAUCGCUAGACUUCUUAAUUUGUUUCAUCCAGCAUUUCAGAAAUCGUAUCUUUUUUGAGUUAUAACAUUCCCUGGCAAAGUAAACCUCUUCCAAACCUAUCUCUGAGUGUUCAAAUGCUGCCUUGUAGAAGGCACUCCAUGUGAGAUCUUGUAGCAACUGUGAAUUUCUUUUGUUAUUUCUCUUCCUUCCCUCCUUGCCUGCAGAAUGCUUAUUGGAUGGCCCAGUUUGGUCCAAAUCAGCAUUCGGUUCGCAAAUCCCAUUCUUCAUAUUUCGACUUGAUUGGUCUGCUUUUGCUCCACCAAUAUCAUGCACUUUUGUCUGAGGGUGAAAUCCUUCAUCCACAAUAAACAGCCGAGCCGAAGAAACUGUGAAAGGUUUGAGAAUUCCGGUAGACGAUACACCACUGUCACUUGAAAGAGACACUAAUGCUCCAUGACCAUUCCUAUAUAAGAAACUCAAGAGAAUCUGCCAAAUGGGUGCUGACUUUCUCUUUGCAUUCUCACCCAAGUCCACUGCUACCACUUCUAGAACCUUAUCUGCAUAAUAAUUGCCAGAACUUUCUUUUCCAUCUUCACCAGGUUUUCCCAAAACAUCACAGACAAGGACUGGAUCAGAUAAGUGCCCCUUGAAUUUCAGAAACUCAUUGUACUUUUGCAAAGCCUUAACCUGGAACUUUGUCACGCCUUUGACAAAAUACCCCCAGAACAAUUCCUUCAGUUUACCACCCUUUGUUUGUGAAUUCAUGAUUUCUAGGGAAAAGAAAGCAUCAUCAGCUGCAUUUCUAGGCAACUUCUUCAAAUCAACCAAUUGAAGAUCACAAACCUUGCAUUCCAAAGGCUUCCCACUUACAUCUAAGAUCUCGAGACUCAACUGCGCAUUGACUUUCUUAUGACUAUCAUCACAACCGAAAAACUUGGAUGAAAUCCCUAUCUCGGGAUAAAUCAAACCAAAGGAAACAAGAGCAGAGCCAAGAAUAAUCCAACCAGUCGAGCAAAAUCCCCAUCCCAAACUCCUAACCCCACUCUCGAAAAACCCAAAUCUCGUCUUAUCCUCAUCGUUCCCAACCUUACCCUCACCACAUUCUAAUUCAUACCUGACAUCAACCCAGCUACACUGAAUAUCUCUACUCACAAAUGCUUCAUUCACAUUCUCAAAGAAACCCCUAAAUCUCUCGGAAAACGCUUUCACAUUUUCCAAAGACUCGUCACCCACACCCACUGUUAGGUCACAACUUCUAAAUUCCCUUUCUCGACCUGCUAGUAGCUGAUAGUAAUGGCGGUGAGUGAGUGGGAAGGAAGAUAGAGAGAGAUAGAAAGUUUCUUGUAAUAUUGUUUUUCUAAUUCAAUCCUGCAGAACAAUGCCACAAUUUGGUUCUUAUACAACCAUCCUUCUCACAAUGCCAGCUGGCUACUAACAAUAACGACAUGUAGCUAAAUAGUUUUCCACUAUUAUUCUAACCACUAUUAUAAUCAUAACACUACCCCUCCCUUACAAAAUAAACCUUGUCCUCAAGGUUAGAAUUAAAGACUGAAAUCAGGAAAUCUGGCAGCAAACUCGUCAUAAUCCUCCCAUGUAGUUUCGUCCUCUUUGUUGUUCUUCCACUGGAUUAACAACUGAACUCCAGCAGCUUGGCCCUUCUUGUAGACCCUCAUUUGUAGCACCUUGAGUGGUUCGAGUGGUAGCAACCCAUCAUCAGUGACAGUAGGCAAGAAUGGAGUUAUGUGACCUUGUCUCCCAAGUGCUUCUUCAAGCAACUAACAUGAAAGACUGGAUGAAUUUUUGAAUUCUCAGGCAGUUUCAAUCGGUAGGCAACCUUCCCAAUAUUUUCCAAAACCUCAUAAGGACCAUAGUACCGGGGAUGAAGCUUAUGGUAAGCAUGAGAUGACAAAGAUUGCAAUUGAUAGGGAAUUAAUUUCAAAUACACCAAAUCUCCUUCCUCGAAAACCCUCUCACUCCGAUGCUUAUCUGCUUGUGUUUUCAUCCGGUUCUGAGCUACUAGUAAAUUGGUCCUGAGCAUUGCUAAUAUUUUGUCCCUAGUUAGCAGCCCUUGCUCCACUAUAUCCAACUUAGCAGUGCCAAGCUCAUAAGACGCGAUGUGUGGUGGUGGAUAACCAUAGACCACUUCGAAGGGGGUGAACUUUGAGGAAGUGUGGUAGGAAGUGUUAUAGCUCCAUUCUGCCCAUGGAAGCCAGUGGAGCCACUUCUUAGGUUGACAGCUAGUGAAGCAUCGCAAGUAAGUUUCAAGGCACCGAUUCACCACCUCUGUCUGGCCAUCACUCUGUGGAUGGUAACCCGAGCUCAUACACAACUUGGAGCCUUGCAACUUAAAAAAAUUCUUUCCAAAAAACACUCAUGAAAAUGGUGUCCCUGUCACUCACAAUGGUAGAGGGCAUCCCAUGGAGUUUAAACACAUUAUCAACAUAUUCCUGAGCUACCAUGCUUGCCGUAUACGGAUGUGCUAAGGGGAUGAAAUGAGCAUACUUGGACAGCCUGUCUACGAUUACCAGGAUCACUGAUUUGCCUUUGCACAGAGGUAAACCAGUGAUGAAAUCCAUGCUUAUAUCCUUCCAUACAUGUGUAGGGAUCGGCAGAGGUUGAAGUAAUCCGGGAGGGGAAAUGGUUUCAUACUUAUUUUGCUGGCAUUCCCGACAUUCAGCCACCCAUGACCUGAGAUCUUUCUUCAUUCCUACCCAAUAGAAGCCCCUCUUCAAUAUCUGAUAAGUCUUUAGAACCCCUUUCAUGGCCUGCACUUGGAGAAGAGUGAUGUUCCUCAAAGACCUUCCUUUUCCAACUUGAAUCUGGGCUAAGCACGAUCCGUCCUUUGUAUUUGAGGAAACCGUUGUCUAAAUGGUACUUGGACAGAUUGGGGUCAAUUGCAGCAGCUUAAGAAUAUGCUAACACCUUCUGCACCUUGCUUUGAAUCCAACUAUCUUGUUCUAACCCUCUCCGAAGUUCAUCUAGCCACCCGAAGUAGGGGUAUGUGAUAGCUUUGCACUCCAAUAAGUCACUGAGAGGUUUCUCUUGUAAUUGAGACGAACCAACUACUCGAGAUAAGGCAUCAGCCAUUAUGUUGUCAUUGCCUUGCCUAUAUUGUAUCUCAUAAUCAAAUCCCAACAACUUGGCCACCCAUUUCUGUUGGAACGGGGUAGUAGUUCUUUGACUCAGAAAGUAUUUCAAGCUGCUAUGAUCUGUCUUUAUGAUGAAAUGGCGCCCUUGAAGGUAGUUUUGCCAUUUUUUGAUAGCACUAACAAUGGCAAUCAACUCUCUUUCGUAUGUAGACAAUGCUUAAUUCCGUGGUCCCAAUGCUUGACUUGUGAAAGCUAUAGGUCUGCCAUUCUGUUGCAACACAGCCCCUAUUCCAUUGCCAGAUGCAUCACAUUCCAAAGUGAAGGGAAUAGCAAAAUUGGGUAAGGCUAAUAGCUGCGGAGAAGUCAUUGUUCUUUUUAAUGCUUGGAAAGCUGCCGUGGCUUCAGGGGACCAAUUGAAACCAUCAUUUUUUGUUAGUUGAUACAAGGGUUGACACACCUUGCCAUAACCGGGGAUGAAUUUUCUAUAAUACCCUGAGAGCCCGAGAAAUCCCCUCAACUCUUUGACAUUUUUCGGUAUCGGCCAAUCUAUAAUUGCUUGAAUUUUAGUAGGAUCUGCAGCCACCCCAUCACGAGAGACGAUGUGCCCCAAGUAUUCCACCUGUGAUUGGCCAAAAGAGCAUUUCGAUUUCUUCACUGCUAAUUGGUGUUUCUGUAAUAACUCCAAAGUUUGGUGCAAGUGUGAAAGAUGGUCCUCCCAGGUCUUGCUGUACACCAAAAUGUCGUCAAAGAACACCAAGAUGAAUUUCCGGAGGUAAGGCUUAAAAAUGUCAUUCAUAAGGGCUUGGAAAGUGGCAGGAGCAUUUGUAAGACCAAAGGGCAUGACUAAGAAUUCAUAAUGCCCUUGGUGAGUUCGGAAGGCAGUCUUUUCCACAUCGGAGGGACAUACGGAUCUGAUGAUAUCCAGACCUAAGAUCAAGCUUAGAAAAAUACUGAGCGCCAUGCAAUUCAUCUAACAAAUCAUCCACUAAUGGAAUAGGAUAUUUAUCCUUAAUGGUAAUGCUGUUCAAUUCACGAUAGUCCAUGCAAAGCCUCCAAGUGCCCUCCUUCUUCUUGACCAAGAGAACUGGAAAUGAAAAGGGACUAUGACUUGGCUGGAUGAAUCCAGCAUCUAAAAGUUCUUGCACAGCUCGUUCAAUCUCAGUUUUUUGCAUAGGACCAUAAUGGUAUGGUCUAAUACUCGGAGGCUUGGAACCAGGAAGCAAUGGAAUCUGGUGAUCAUGAGCCCGUGGAGGUGGUAAGGUAGUAGGAGGCUUAAAAACCGUUUCAAAUUGCCUGAGCAUACCCUGCAGCUCAAUGAGUUGCUGGGGAUUCAAGUUGGAUGCCUCCAACGGAUUAGUUUCCAUUGAAUACAAUAAGACGCCCCAAUUAGAGUAUUUAAACUCUUUUUCAAGCUGUUGACAAACAGUAUCCUGUACCAAGUACGCUGGAGCAGUGGAAUGAACAAGUUUAUAGUGGUCUUUUCCCACAGAAAAUUCCAUGGUUAAGUUGUGAAAAUCCCACAAAACUGGACUCACAGAUGAGAGCCAUUUCACACCCAAUACAACAUCGCAACCCCCUAGAGGAAGUGCGUAGAGGUUAGUGUGGCAGCGAUAUGCACCCAAUUCCAAGGGAAUUUGUUGGCAACAGCCUUGACUUCGGACUUUACCCCCAUCGGCAAUCAUGACAUCGAAGGGUUUGGUGGUGUGACAAGGCCACCCGAGCUGCUUAAGCAACCUAGAAUCCACAAAAUUGUGGGUGCUACCAGAGUCAAGUAGUAUGGUAACAGGUAGAGUGUGAAGCACACCAGCCACUUUCAUGGUUUGUACCGUGGAGGGCUCAGUAGUGCCAUAGAACGCACAAGCACUCAACUCCAUGCUUGAUAGGGAAAGAUCAAUAGGCUCCAGUAAUUCACACUCUGUAGGUUCCAGCAAUUCACACUCGGUAGGCUCCAACUCAUUACAAACAUCAAGCAUAAGGAGCUGUUUAUUAUGGACACAUUUGUGCCCUCGAACCCACUUUUCAUUACAGAACCAACACUCGCCCUUGUCCUUCUUCCGUUGAACUUCCUCGGGGGUAAGUUUCUUAUAAGGGAGGGUUUGAGGAUGAGGCCUGGUAAGGGAAGGUAGAGGUAAGGCGAGAGGAGGUUUGAGUGGGGGAUGAGGUUUUGGGGGAGAUGGUUUCAAGUCCGUGAGUUUAGCAUUUAAUUGGGCAGCAAAGGAAAUGGCCUCAUGAACUGAGGAAGGGCGAAGCAAUUUAACAUCGUAACGCAAUUCCUUCUUGAGACCCCCCAGAAAGCAACUCUUUAAGAGAAUAGGACCAACAUCAUAGGUUCGAGUGGCAAGGCGCCGAAAUUCCACAAUAUAAUCACGAAGAGGGCCGGUUUGGCGGAGUUUGAAUAGCGACUCAGUGCAGUCCUCAAACUCCGGUGGACCAAAUUCCUGGCACAAAGCAGUCGUGAAUUCACCCCAGGUGGGAGUGGAAUGUACACAAUCGCGCCAACGAAACCAGUACAGCGGCUCAUUCUUGAAGUGGAAGGAGGCGGUCAAAACCUUCUGAUUCUCCGGAGUGUGAUAAUAAGCAAAAUAUUGUUCGGCCUUAUAGAUCCACGCUGAGGGAUCAUCACCGUCGGAGAAACGGGGAAAAUCCAGACGAUGUGACCGCUGCGGGCGAGGAGUAAAACCGCCGCCUUCAAAAGAAUCACGGCGCUGAAACCGUGGAGUGUCGAGACAACGAAAAUCGCCAUCAUCGGUCACAAUGGGAGGAGGAAUAUGUGGAUCUGGCACUAGAGGUGGUGGUGCAGUCGAAGAGCCAGCACCGCCUUGAGGACCAGGGUCGCGAUGGAGAUGCUCCAGGAGAAGGGCGAAUUUGGUUUCGAGAGCGGUGAAGCGGGUGUCGGAAUUGGCGUUGGAAGUCUGGAUCAGCUGAGGAAUGGCUCCCAUGGCUUCCAGAGUAGCUUCCACGGCGGAGAGGCGCGAUUCAACAGUGGACAUUCGAGAAUUUGUGGUGUGGCGGGGCAUACAAGAGGGAGACUCAGGAUCGAGAGGCUGAUACCAAUUGUUAGGUCAAAACUUCUAAAUUCCCUUUCUCGACCUGCUAGUAGCUGAUAGUAAUGGCGGUGAGUGAGUGGGAAGGAAAAUAGAGAGAGAUAGAAAGUUUCUUGUAAUAUUGUUUUUCUAAUUCAAUCCUGCAGAACAAUGCCACAAUUUGGUUCUUAUACAACCAUCCUUCUCACAAUGCCAGCUGGCUACUAACAAUAACGACAUGUAGCUAAAUAGUUUUCCACUAUUAUUCUAACCACUAUUAUAAUCAUAACACCCACAUUCGGGAAUUCUGUCAAACAGUUUGCAGACACACAGACGGGCGAAAACAGAACUACCAAAUUAGACCUCACAGCAACCGAAUCACUAUUCGAGAACAUACCCAUCAUUGGAUCGCAGAUCACGGGGUCCCAGGCGUAGUCGUGCACGAGCUGGCGCAAGGAGACGGCGAAAUGCGGGGAGGGAAUUGAGGGUGUGGAAGAGGGAAUUGAAAGUGGGGCCGGGGAGGUGGAAAGAGAGGGAGAGAGAAGUGGGGAGCUUGGAGGAGGAGAGCAGCGGAGAGAGGGAGGAGAAGAAGGGUCUGAAGGCGAAGAGAGAGGCGGAGAGAAGAAGGAAGGAGAGGAUGGUUUUGACGGCGGCGAGGAGGGCGGUGAGAAAUGGAGCUGGGUUUUGGAGGUGGAGGAAUGGGUUGAGGUCUAGGAGGAGGACGAUGCGCACAGUGCCUGCCUAUCAUGUAAAACCAUUGACAAUGAUACAAGACAGUUUAUUUGGACCUAUAAAACUAUAUUUAUGUAAAACUAUAUUUUAUUCAAUUUCAAAAAUUAGUACAUGCAAUGACAUGUUUGAUCGUAAAAAAAAAAAAAAUGAGAAAUUUUCAGUGUAUCAGAAAUACGAAUCGGUAAAAAAUCUCUCCAAAAAUACAUAUGCAUGUUUUAUUCAAAAGGAAAGGAAUGAGGCGCCAUCAUCCCUAACACACUUUAUUACAAGUAGUAUCAUCCAUUGAGGCAGAGAAGUUAAUUAGAUGCUGUCCUUAAUGGAUGCACUAUAACCGUUGUCAUAGAACCUGUUCCAAAGCAUAACUCCUCCGUACUUGGCCGAAUUCUUAAUUGUUGGAAGGACUUGUGACUUGAGAGCAUCAGCAGGAAUAAAUCCGCUGCGCGCGGCAUCAGUAGACGCCGGUAUCCCCAAGAACACCUGGGUGGCCGAAACCGAGGCCCAUCGGUUCCAACUGCUCAAAAGAGCGUCGGCAUUACCGUCUGCAUACUGGCAUUGGGCUAGGGGGUUGUUGUAGAACUGAACCCAAACGUAGUCAAAUAAACCGGUUGGAUAGCGCCGUCUAGGUGAGUAUCCGGGAACGGGCAUUGUGGAGCUGCGGCUAAAUAGACCGUUUUUCCCUGUCCGUUGUGUCCUUUGAGUGACCUGGCGAGCUCGUCGUAGAACUGCGUACCACCCAACUCAAUGUCGAAAUCGACGCCGUCCAAAACCGCGUCCCCAAGCGGGCGCGAAUCUGACUGACCACCUAGGAA
rnacentral:lncRNA from 1 species